AUUGAACGCUAGCGGGAUGCUUUACACAUGCAAGUCGAACGGCAGCACGAAAAGAGCUUGCUCUUUUUGGUGGCGAGUGGCGAACGGGUGAGUAUGUAUCGGAACGUACCCAGUAGCGGGGGAUAACUACGCGAAAGCGUGGCUAAUACCGCAUACGCCCUACGGGGGAAAGGGGGGGAUCGCAAGACCUCUCACUAUUGGAGCGGCCGAUAUCGGAUUAGCUAGUUGGUGGGGUAAAGGCUCACCAAGGCAACGAUCCGUAGCUGGUUUGAGAGGACGACCAGCCACACUGGGACUGAGACACGGCCCAGACUCCUACGGGAGGCAGCAGUGGGGAAUUUUGGACAAUGGGGGAAACCCUGAUCCAGCCAUCCCGCGUGUGCGAUGAAGGCCUUCGGGUUGUAAAGCACUUUUGGCAGGGAAGAAACGGCGCUGACUAAUACUUGGCGCAACUGACGGUACCUGCAGAAUAAGCACCGGCUAACUACGUG
rnacentral:rRNA from 1 species